rnacentral:rRNA from 1 species
UACGUAGGAGGCAAGCGUUGUCCGGAAUUACUGGGCGUAAAGCGCGUGUAGGUGGUGGGACAAGUCUGCUGUGAAAGCGCCUGGCUUAACCGGGCGAGGUCGGCGGAAACUGUUCGACUCGAGGACGGUAGAGGGGGGUGGAAUUCCCGGUGUAGUGGUGAAAUGCGUAGAGAUCGGGAGGAACACCAGUGGCGAAGGCGACUACCUGGCCCAUUCUUGACGCUGAGGCGCGAAAGCUAGGGGAGCGAACGGG